UGUUAAAACGGGCUUCAAACCCGCGGGCUCUAACGGGCUCUGUAUAAAAUUUCUGGCCCGUUACCCGUUUAUUUGUAUGUAAAACUUUACGGGUCCAUACCGGGUUACCCAUUAAGGCCCGUUUAAUAAAUGGGUGGAGUCUGAAUAUAAAAUUUCUGACCCGUUACCCGUUUAGUUUUUUUUUUCUUUAAAAAAAAAAGAGAAAACAACGUCGUUAGGUUUCACUUUACAUCUUUCUCAAGCCGUCGCUCUUCUUAGAUCGUAUCCUCUUCAAGCUCUCUGUCAAUCGAAUUUGAGAAAUCGAGAAAAGUUAUAUGAAUCAAACUUGAGAAAUCGAGAAAAGGGUCUCUUCGUUUUCUUCAUUAAGCUACGGUAAGUUAUUGGUUUUGACAUUUGUUUCAUCUUCUUCGAGAGCAAUCUCUCAAACAACUCUUCCUCUGAUUUUGAUUCUGGGUUAUUGAUAUGAAGCUUCAUUGUAUAGGAUCUUUUUGAGUUAGAAAGAAGCAUUGCAGCUGGUGUGGACAACCCAAAGACACAUUUAGAUAUUUAUUUAGAGGAGCCAAGAGUAAACAGAAAAAAUUAUCCAAACUUGGAUGUCUUAGGUUAUUCGAAAGAGAAUCAUCAUAGGCUGAGUGAUUUAGCUGAUAUGGCGAGGGAUUUGCUUACCAUCCCUUUUACUACGGUUGCCUCUGAGUCGGCCUUUAGUAUUGGAGGUAGAAUUUUGACUCCAUACCGAAACCGGCUUCUUCCAAAAAAUGUUCAAGCUUUGCUUUGUGCUCGCAAUUGGCUUAGAGGAUUUGCAGAAUUUGAAGGUACCAUCCAAGAUACUGAUGAGAUUGCCACUGAAGAUGUCAGAAAAACAGUGAGCAGCUCAAGAGUAGAAAGUUCAAGGUCAGGAGAUUCAAACAUACAAUGAGACAGUGAAGAGGUAACCUUGAGUCCUUGACUGUUACUUACUCGGUUCUUUGAUAGAGAAUGGUCCAAUUCUGAUACUUUCAUGUCUUGUUAGGUCAUGUGUUUGUGGCCUUGACUGUAAACUGUUAUGUCUUUUAUGUCUUGUUAGGUGUGUAAACUCCUUACGUAAUGCUGAUAUAAAUAAUGUCAUUUCUUUGCUGAGCAAUGCUCCAUGUAGAUGGAGAACUCAUUGUUGGUUUGAGACUAAAAGAGGAGGAUGAAGUUGGUUUCUAUCUUGUUUAUCCAUAGUUGUUUCUCUAUGGUUGACAGUUUUUUUUUUUCAGACACAAGUUUAAUUGCAAAACUGUUUUGUUAUCUUUCAAUUUAUGAGUUUGUUGGUUUGCACUAGAACAGAUAUUGUCGGGUUUUGUUGUCUUUCACCUUCAAAAACAGUUUUAAAACAGGUUCA